rnacentral:rRNA from 2 species
GGCCUACGGGUGGCUGCAGUGGGGAAUAUUGGACAAUGGGCGCAAGCCUGAUCCAGCCAUGCCGCGUGAGUGAUGAAGGCCUUCGGGUUGUAAAGCUCUUUUAUCCGGGAAGAUAAUGACUGUACCGGAAGAAUAAGCCCCGGCAAACUUCGUGCCAGCAGCCGCGGUAAUACGAAGGGGGCUAGCGUUGUUCGGAUUUACUGGGCGUAAAGCGCACGUAGGCGGCCUGUUAAGUCAGGGGUGAAAUCCUGGAGCUCAACUCCAGAACUGCCCUUGAGACUGGCAGGAUCGAGUAUGGAAGAGGUUGGUGGAACUGCGAGUGUAGAGGUGAAAUUCGUAGAUAUUCGCAAGAACACCAGUGGCGAAGGCGGCCAACUGGUCCAUUACUGACGCUGAGGUGCGAAAGCGUGGGGAGCAAACAGGAUUAGAUACCCCAGUAGUCA